CCCUUAGAUGUUCUGGGCUGCACACGCGCUACACUGAAGGGACCAGCGUGUUCUUUUCCUGGUCCGAAAGGAUCGGGUAACCCGCUGAACCCCCUUCGUGGUAGGGAUCGGAGCUUGCAAUUAUUCUCCGUGAACCAGGAAUUCCCAGUAAGCGCAAGUCAUAAGCUUGCGUUGAUUACGUCCCUGCCCUUUGUACACACCGCCCGUCGCUACUACCGAUUGGACGUUUUAGUGAGGAUUUUGGACUGAGCCAAUGGUGGUUCACACCACUGUUGUGCAUGGAAAGAUCUCCAAACUUGAGCGUUUAGAGGAAGUAAAAGUCGUAACA
rnacentral:rRNA from 1 species